rnacentral:rRNA from 1 species
AUGCUCGCAUCUUGCCAGCGCACCAAGGGCUUUCAAAUAGCCUCAAUUGCUGCAUCAAGUGCCUUAGCUAGUCGGCAACCAACUUCUUCAAUACCCAAGCUAAAGCAAAAAGCUAUUGCUGGCCAUGGAACUAGGCCAAGUCCCAAGAGCAAGGUUGUAGUGCCUCAGGUUGAUGAACAUGGGCUCGCACAUGAAGAUGAGCUCGCCGAAUUCCUCAAAAGAAAGCAAGAGAAAGCUGCAAUUGCAAAGAACUCUUAUGUUCCAUUGUUGCUGGACCCUAAGAAAUUGCUUGAUUUCAUUGACAUCUGGUGCACAAACCCAAAACGCCUCUUGACGAUCUCAAUUUACCACCUGGUCUAG